rnacentral:tRNA from 1 species
GGAUUAGCUCAGUUGGCUAGAGCGUCCCGCUUUUUGGCGGGAAGGCCACCGGUACGAAUCCGGUAUUCUCCA